rnacentral:rRNA from 1 species
AUUGAACGCUGGCGGCAGGCCUAACACAUGCAAGUCGAGCGAGCGGCGGACGGGUGAGUAAUGUAUGGGGACUGCCCGAUAGAGGGGGAUAACUACUGGAAACGGUGGCUAAUACCGCAUACUAAUAGAUAGCCUAAGUCGGAUUAGCUAGUAGGUAAGGUAAUGGCUUACCUAGGCGACGAUCCCUAGCUGGUCUGAGAGGAUGAUCAGCCACACUGGGACUGAGACACGGCCCAGACUCCUACGGAGGCAGCAGUGGGGAAUAUUGCACAAUGGGCGCAAGCCUGAUGCAGCCAUGCCGCGUGUAUGAAGAAGGCCCUAGGGUUGUAAAGUUCUUUCAGUCGGGAGGCGUUACCGACAGAAGAAGCACCGGCUAACUCCGUGCCAGCAGCCGCGGUAAUAC